rnacentral:rRNA from 1 species
CACGUAGGGUGCGAGCGUUGUCCGGAAUUAUUGGGCGUAAAGAGCUCGUAGGCGGUGUGUCGCGUCGGCCGUGAAAACCUGUGGCUUAACCAUGGGCUUGCGGUCGAUACGGGCAUCACUGGAGUUCGGCAGGGGAGACUGGAAUUCCUGGUGUAGCGGUGAAAUGCGCAGAUAUCAGGAGGGAACACCCGAUGGCGAAGGCAGGUCUCUGGGCCACUACUGACGC